AGAGUUUGAUCAUGGCUCAGAACGAACGCUGGCGGCGUGCCUAACACAUGCAAGUCGAGCGAGAAAGCCCGCAAGGGUGAGUAAAGCGGCGCACGGGUGCGUAACACGUGGAUAAUCUGCUGGAGUCCGGAAUAACUCGCCGAAAGGCGUGCUAAUGCCGGAUGAGACCACGGGGUCUUCGGAUCCUGCGGGAAAAGGUG
rnacentral:rRNA from 1 species